CAAAGUAAACCAAGCUUUCAAAUAACAUGGUUAUAAUAAUAAUUAUCUAUAGCCUUCUUAAACUCUAAGAUAGAGAAGCAUUUUCCUCAUAUUUCACCCAGUCCUGGUACCUCUGGGGAUUUGCUUGUUUUUUUUUCCUUGCUUCUCUUGAUCCCUACCAUUUAAUAUUUCAUCUGCUGACUUCAACCCAAUUAGUGCAAACAGUGCCACCUCACCAUAUGUCACUUCGGACUAUGUCUAGCCAUGCCAGUCUGGGAUGUCAGCUCUCCAGCUUCAAUACUCUAGUGAUGACUUUCCUAGCUCAUGGGACUUCUUUGUUCCAUUUCUGGUGGUGCCCUUUCUAACAAAAUUACCAGACCUAAGUAUAGACCAGGACCCAAGGGAUAAGGUACGUGUCCACAAGUAUCCAUAAGUUAGGGGAAAUAUAGAUAUCUUAAAGCAAAAGUGUGCAAUAGUUUGCAGUGAGUAGACUUAGACUCAAUAAAUGCAUUAAGCAAGUGGAAAGACCUAAAAAAAGACACCAUAAAUUUCUUGAUCAAGUAUUUUCUAUUUAGGCCUAGACACCCUCCUCUCCUACCCCCUACUUCACUUCCCUCAAUCACUCUUAGUCUAAUAUUGUCAGACAAAUCAAGGACUACUUGAUUAUGACAUUUUUAGUUACUACCAAGCUAUCCCAUUAUCUGGGGCUCAUCUGUGGGAAUCCUUAGAUUCUCUCAUAGAUAUGAUGGGCUUAGACCUUUAGUAGAUCCCUCUGUCCACCAUCACUGGUCACUUUCAUCAGAAUCAUCAUCAUAAGCCCUCUUGUGGGUCUCUACAGGAUCUUGCAUUAAGUGUAGAAAAAAGGUAAGGCUUACCCCACUCUCUGAAGGGAGGUUGGGUCAACAUACUCUGCUACUCAGGAAGACUGAUCCUGAAAUGAAUGUAGCCUAGAAUGUGAUUAUAGACUGUCAGUUUAUACUGACAGGGACUCAGAGGUUACAGUUUCCUGUGCUAAAUAUGAAUAGUUUUUAGCACUAGAUCAGAUUGAUCAGGUUUACAGUUAAUGGUAUUUAUAUACUUUCCUCACAUUUGGGAGCUGCUCUCUGUCCUGAUCCAGCUUUCUCAACUCUGACACUAUCUUUCCAGACAGUAUUUUUAGCCCACUAGCAUAUUAGCUAUUUGGCUCAGGCAAAAAUUACUAAAGUCACAGGCCUCUUGGAAUAUACCUAAAAUAGACUUUCUAACUACUUCCCACACAAACACCCUUAGUUCCAUCUGCUCUAUUCUUACCUUAGGUUCCUGAUUAUUAAAAAAUUUGUGCUGUUUUAUAUGUUAUCACUUUCUAGCCACCAAGGUGCAGAUGCUACCAUGACACCUAGCCUCCCUGGGCAGAAGACUUCACCAUUGUGUCCUGCAAUUCUGAUAUAGUUAAUUAUGGACAAGCAUUCAUCAUACAGAUAUAUCCUUUGGAUCUGGAUAAGACUUCACCUUCUCAGGAAAAAAUUAAGAAGCUUAAUAAUGAAGAUUGUAUUACCUACCUGCCUUGGGAUUAUGGUUUCAAAAGCUUUCUCAAGCAAGAGGAUAUAGUAUAAAUGAGAGAGGAAGAGACAUCAAAACACCAGAACUGAGCUGAGAAGCAGAUGAGACCUCUGUGUGGUGCUGGGACUUAAACCUGGCUGCGCAUGUGGACACA